AUGGGUGCUGCAAGGGGAGGCGUCUCGGCGCUGCUCGUGGCCGCGCUCCUGCUCGGCGCCUUCGCCCCUCCGGCCUCCGCGGCGUCGUACCCCGCAAAGGUGGUCAGCGGCUUCCUCUCCAAUGCGGCGUCGGCGGUGCUGAAGCGGCUGUGGUCGCUCAAAUCGACGGUCAAGACAGCGAGCGGGGCCAAGUCCAUGGUCAAGUACGAGGGCGGCUACACCGUGGAGACGGUCUUCGACGGCAGCAAGCUGGGGAUCGAGCCGUACACCGUGGAGGUCACCCAGGGUGGCGAGCUGCUCGUCAUGGACUCCAUGAACAGCAACAUCUACCGGAUCGCGCUGCCGCUGUCCCGAUAUAGCAGACCAAAGCUUGUUGCUGGUUCACCAGAAGGAAUUCCUGGUCAUAUUGAUGGGAGGCUGCGAGAGGCAAAGAUGAACCAUCCAAAGGGAUUUACGGUGGACGGCAGGGGCAACAUAUACGUGGCUGAUGCUAUGAACAUGGCUGUUAGAAAGAUCAGUGAUACAGGAGUUACAACUAUUGCUGGUGGGAAAUCAAGCAGAGGAGGGCAUGUUGAUGGACCAAGUGACGAUGCAAAAUUUUCUACUGAUUUUGAAGUCCGUUACAUUGCCAGUAGCUGCUCCCUUUUGGUGAUUGACAGAGGAAAUCAAGCUAUUCGGGAGAUUCAGCUCAACUUUGAUGACUGUGUGUACCAGUAUGAAGCUGGUUUUCCUCUAGGAGUAGCACUGCUUCUUGCUGCUGCUUUCUUCGGCUACAUGCUUGCAUUGCUCCAACGCCGGGUUUUAGGGAUGGUAUCAACAGAAGAUGAACUCCAGACUCCAAUGAAAGCCAGCAUCGCAAGCAUCCCUCCAUACCAGAUUCAGAAGCCGCUAAAGCCUUCCCUUCGACCCCCGCUAAUCCCAAACGAGGACGAAUCCGAGAAACAAGAAGUCGAAGAGGGGUUCUUCACCUCACUAGGCAAGCUAAUCGGAGGAGCAAAAUCAUCCGUUGCCGAGAUCGUCGGUGCAGCAUUUUCCAGGAAGAAGCGCCCAAGCGUCCACCAUUACCAGCAGGGCAGAGCAAGCCCCUGGCCAGUGCAAGAAAGCUACGCCAUCCCGCGCGACGAGACGCCUCCGGUGGUGGACACGAGGACGCCGACCCCUCGCAAGAACUACGCUUUCAUGUCCAAGGAGCCGGAGAAGAUCCACCACAUCCGGCAGGGCCGGGCCCCGUACAACGGCUGGAACAACGGAGAAUCGCCCCAGCAGCAGCAGCAGCAGCAGCAGCAACAGGUGCAUCACCAGUACCUGCAGCACAACAGGCAAUACUCCCUGGGGCCGCAGACGUUCUACGAGCCGAGCUGCGAGGCGGCGAACGAGAUCGUCUUCGGGGCGGUGCAGGAGGUGGACAGCGCGCGCCGCGCCGUGGAGAUCAAGCCGGUGAACCACUGCGACGCGGCGGCCUACGAGCAGGGCGGGCUGCGCUACCGCAGCAGCGGCUACAUGGGCUAG
rnacentral:rRNA from 1 species